CCUAACUUUCUAGAUUUAGAUCUACUCCUUUCCCUCCACACUUAGAUCUAUAAUCACCAUCAGCCACUGUCCAUAAAAUUUUGCUUAAAAUCUAGAUAGAUUUAGAUCUAAUUCUUUCCCUCCACAAUCACCACGAGCCUCAGACCCAUGAAGUUUGCUUAUUUAAAAUCUACUUAGAUUUAGUUUAGAUAUUAAGAGUAGAUCUAAUCCUUUCCCGCCACAAUCUUAAAUUCAAAUUUGAUCUAAUUCUCUAAACAGCAUCGUACUAUUUCUAAAUCUGUAUUCGAAAAGGCACAAUAAGGCUUGUCUUCGAGUCCGUAGAUUAAUGAGGAAUGCAGUAUUUCGAAAAGGCAUUUAAGUUAUCUGCGAUUUUAGGCCAAAUUUGUCAGUGCUACGUAGAUCUAGAUCUAUGUCUUGAGAGCUCUAAGCUAUAGCUGUGUUGCUUACGGACAAUGUGUGUCUAUAUGGUUUUGCCUACUCGUAUUGAUUGAGACCAGCCAGUUGGACCGAAAAUAGAUGAUAAUCUAGUAGUUUUAUGUUUAUAAAUCUUUUAAUCUUGACCGCUUGAAUAACAAGUCAUAUGGCUGAUUUCAAAAUAUAUAAACAGUCUUCGUACAUCAAACUAACAGCCUUCUGACUCUCUUUCUCUCUCAUGCUCGUAAGCAGUGGCGUCACUAGGGGGUGAGGGCCGCACCGGGUGACACUCGUUAGGGGGUGACACCCAAAUGGGGAAAAUAUGCACUUUUGCAAAAGACUUUUGAAAAUAUAUGGAAGCACUACAUGUUAAGUGGCUUUCUGGCAGAAAUUAAUUGAUUUGAAGGUGUAAAAAAACUGACUAGAAUUGACUUCUUAAGAAUUCAGAUGGGUGCACGAAGCCUACAUGUUCAGUCAUCAAUUUCUGAUAAACCUAGGCUAGCCUACUACAACUGUACUUCAGUCACCAUUGGAAGCACUACUUGUUUAGUUGCUACUUCGAUUUUAAUUGAUCUGACGAUGCAAACAAAAUGGCUAGAUUUUGGCUACUCAGAAUCCAGGGGGGUGCAAUUAAGUGCAUCACCUUGCACCUAUCUGCGUGCGCCCAUGAAACCAACAUAGGUUUAUAUCCAGCACCUUUAGAGUAACCUUCAAUGACCUCACAAUAUAGCCCAGCAUAGCUAAACAUGAAGUGGAAAUAAAGCAAAACAUUUUAUGUAUCUGGUCAAUCUCAUGACCACAACACUGAUUUGAUUUGUUGAUUUGAGGCACAUCGGCACAAUUUAGGCCAUGUCGUGCCUGCAGUCCCUUAAGGACUACUCUCU